rnacentral:lncRNA from 1 species
UCUUCUUGGAAGGAAUCUUAGCAAGAAAGAAGUAGAUUCCAGAAUUUACUCUCGGUUUAAAAAUAUCGAAAGAUAUUUUAGUUAUGUUCAAGAAAGAAUCAAAGGGAAGAAGUCCCCCAAAGUUUACCUACAGUUUUAUCUCAAAGAUAGGUGUUUCCCUCUGUUGGAGAAAAGUAUGAUCUUAUAUAUUGUUUAUUUAUACCUCACUAUAAAUUAUUCUUGUUCAUCUCUUUCUCAGGUAACAUGUCCCUUUUAC